rnacentral:lncRNA from 1 species
ACUAUGGAUCGUUACGUUUAGAUGUAUGCAGAAGCUGUUGCGGUGAAAUAGUUUCUCACUACUAGAAUCUACCAAAAUAAAGCUAUCAAAAGAGUUAAUGAGGAUAAGGUGUUUGUUUCGUUAUCUGUUUAGAUGACCUCACACUUAUCUUGGGUCAGCCUCCAUCCCACCUUGAGGGUGUUCAACUGAAGAGAUUCUCCUGUCCCUGCUGAAGUGUCUUCUCUUUAUCACCACCCAAUGGGCAUUUGGUCUCAGCCAUUAUGGAUCAGAAAGAGCGCACUGCAAUCAACAGGAAAGUUCUCGUUUCAGGAGAGUACAUUGUCAGAUGUCUCAUGACCUACAAUGGCAAGUCAUUCAGAAGUGGACACACUGGUGUGCUUUGGAUCAUUGUCAAGCUGCAGAACCCAAGUUUGCGUCAAGCUUGAGGUCACUAACAGAUGGCCGGACAUUCUUCAGGAUAUUUUGUGAAGCUGCUGUAUGGGUCCACUGAACAUCAAAUAUGGAAGAAACGUCUUUUUGCAACAGCAUGGCUCCCUGUAUGAUGCAUCUUGAAGAAUGCUCAACAACCGUAAGAACAAAGAGAAACUGUGAGUGUGCAUUGCUGCUAGUCUGUGUGCUUGUUGAAAUGUCAAUGAUGAUUUACUGCAGAGGUCAUUUGAGGUGCAUGUUUUAAAGGUACUGUGGGAGACUUUGUAAAGAUUCUCAUUAUGUUUUUGAUGCAACCUGAUUUCAUAUGUUUUUUUCCUGAGGUGAGUCUAGGUAAAUUUUGUGGGUAAAAUACAGCCAUCAAAAUAUCAACCAAAAGCCCUGCACUUUGAAAAUUGUAAUGGGGUUGAAAAGUUCUAUUUUAAAGAAUAUUGAUACAACCAUUCAUCAUUGAUAAAACAAUUUAUUAUAGCAAAUAUAAUGUCAAAAAAAAAAAACUAAAACAUCACAUAAAUUGUGCAAAUUGUUUUUAAACCAGACCUACUGUACAUGGGCUUUCUAAAUAUUUUUGAACAACAAAAAUAUAUCUCAAACUUUUUGUAGGAUAUUUACAGUAAUUAUUUUGUAAUUGUCAUGAUUUAUAUAUAUAUAAAAGUUUAUAUGGAAAACGAGAUACAUUUUUAAAGAACAUUUAUGACUUUAUAAACACUAUUAAUAUACAGAAUGCAUUUGCC